rnacentral:rRNA from 1 species
AGAGUUGAUCCUGGCUCAGGAUGAACGCUGGCGGCGUGCCUAAUACAUGCAAGUCGAGCGAGAAAUACUUUCAGACGAUUCUUCGGAUGAGUCAGGAAGAUGGAAAGCGGCGAACGGGUGAGUAACGCGUAGGCAACCUGCCCUCAGCAGAGGGAUAGCCAUUGGAAACGAUGAUUAAAACCUCAUAAUGCUGCAGUAACACAUGUUACAGCAGCCAAAGAUUUAUCGGCUGGGGAUGGGCCUGCGUCUGAUUAACUGGUUGGUGAGGUAACGGCUCACCAAGGUAACGAUCAGUAGCCGACCUGAGAGGGUGAUCGGCCACAUUGGAACUGAGACACGGUCCAAACUUCUACGGAAGGCAGCAGUAAGGAAUCUUGCACAAUGGGGGGAAAAACCCCCUGAUGCAGCAACGCCGCGUGAACGAUGAAGGCCUUAGGGUUGUAAAGUUCUGAUCUGGGGGAAGAAGAAAGUGACGGUACCCCAGGAGAAAGCCCCGGCUAAAUACGUGCCAGCCGCCGC